CAUGAGUGGUUUUGGACCCGUGUCUGCCGGUAGAUCCCCCGACUCUUUGUGCGGCCGACUACCGGCGCCGUGUCCCGUCGGUUCUGUGGCUUAUGUUACUGUUGCCUUUCAAGCGCUUGUGUGUUGGUACCCGAACUCCGGGUAGUGGUGCUUUGUAUUCGGUUGCCUCGCGGUGGCCGCCUUCGGGUGUGCUGCUGCGGCCAAAUGGCGCUAGCGGCGUUUCCUCGUUGUGCCGGCAUGUUUACUCUGCCGGUGCAAUCAAGGCAACCUCGCUCCCGCUGUUGGUCUCGGAUGUUGCCUACGUUAAAGUCUCUUGGCCCAUUUAAGUUGCCUUGACCYGACCCUAAGAAGCUCUCCGAAAAAUUGAGAACAACCGGAACAGGUGUUGCCUCUACCUCUCCACAGUUAGUGGUAGGAUUACGCAACAUUCUGCGCCGAUCCUCAAACUAGUAGGACGAGCUUGGCCCGCUCAAAUGCGACAACCGGCCCGGCCGUUKGCUCUGCCUUGACACGCAAGUGGAUGGGUGGACAACUUCCGACGCUGGACGUCAAAGAGGACGUGCU
rnacentral:misc_RNA from 1 species